rnacentral:rRNA from 1 species
CGAGAAAACUUUGCAAUGUGCGAAAGCACGACAAGGUUAAUCCGAGUGGUUUCUGCUAAAGGAACCUUUUGUCGGUCCUAGAAACACCGAUGAAUAAGGGGUGGGCAAGUUCUGGUGUCAGCCGCCGCGGUAAAAACCAGCACCUCAAGUGGUCAGGAUGAUUAUUGGGCCUAAAGCAUCCGUAGCCGGCUCCAUAAGUUUUCGGUUAAAUCUGUACGCUCAACGUACAGGCUGCCGGGAAUACUGUGGAGCUAGGGAGUGGGAGAGGUAGACGGUACUCGGUAGGAAGGGGUAAAAAUCCUUGAUCUAUUGAUGACCACCUGUGGCGAAGGCGGUCUAACCAGAACACGUCCGACGGUGAGGGAUGAAAAGCUGGGGGAGCAAACCGGAUUAGAUACCCGGGUAGUCCCAGCUAGUAAAACUAUGCAAAACUCAAGUGAUGCAUUGGCUUGUGGCCAAUGCAGUG